GUGAGUAACACGUGGGAACGUGCCCUUUGGUUCGGAACAACUCAGGGAAGCUUGGGCUAAUACCGGAUGGGCCCUUACGGGGAAGGGUUUAUGGGCGAAAGUUGGCCCGCGUCUGAUUAGCUAGUUGGUGAGGUAAUGGCUCACCAAGGCGACGAUCAGUAGCUGGUCUGAGAGGAUGAUCAGCCACAUUGGGACUGAGACACGGCCCAAACUCCUACGGGAGGCAGCAGUGGGGAAUAUUGGACAAUGGGCGCAAGCCUGAUCCAGCCAUGCCGCGUGAGUGAUGAAGGCCCUAGGGUUGUAAAGCUCUUUUGUGCGGGAAGAURAUGACGGUACCGCAAGAAUAAGCCCCGGCUAACUUCGUGCCAGCAGCCGCGGUAAUACGAAGGGGGCUAGCGUUGCUCGGAUCACUGGGGCGUAAAGGGUGCGUAGGCGGGUUUUUAAGUCAGAGGUGAAAUCCUGGGAGCUCAACUCCAGAACUGCCUUUGAUACUGAAGAUCUUGAGUUCGGGGAGAGGGUGAGUGGAACUGCGAGUGUAAAGGUGAAAUUCGUAGAUAUUCGCGAGAACACCAGUGGCGAAGCGGCUCACUGGCCCGAUACUGACGCUGAAGCACGAAAGCGUGGGGGASCAACAGGAUAGAUACCCUGGGUAUCC
rnacentral:rRNA from 1 species